rnacentral:rRNA from 1 species
GACGAACGCUGGCGGCGUGCUUAACACAUGCAAGUCGAACGGAAAGGCCCUGCUUUUGUGGGGUGCUCGAGUGGCGAACGGGUGAGUAACACGUGAGUAACCUGCCCUUGACUUUGGGAUAACUUCAGGAAACUGGGGCUAAUACCGGAUAGGAGCUCCUGCUGCAUGGUGGGGGUUGGAAAGUUUCGGCGGUUGGGGAUGGACUCGCGGCUUAUCAGCUUGUUGGUGGGGUAGUGGCUUACCAAGGCUUUGACGGGUAGCCGGCCUGAGAGGGUGACCGGCCACAUUGGGACUGAGGUACGGCCCAGACUCCUACGGGAGGCAGCAGUGGGGAAUAUUGCGCAAUGGGCGGAAGCCUGAUGCAGCAACGCCGCGUGCGGGAUGACGGCCUUCGGGUUGUAAACCGCUUUCGCCUGUGACGAAGCGUGAGUGACGGUAAUGGGUAAAGAAGCACCGGCUAACUACGUG